ACGGAAGGCAGCAGUGGGGAAUAUUGCACAAUGGGGGAAACCCUGAUGCAGCGACGCCGCGUGAGCGAAGAAGUAUUUCGGUAUGUAAAGCUCUAUCAGCAGGGAAGAAACUGACGGUACCUGACUAAGAAGCACCGGCUAAAUACGUGCCAGCAGCCGCGGUAAUACGUAUGGUGCGAGCGUUAUCCAGAUUUACUGGGUGUAAAGGGAGCGUAGACGGAUAGGCAAGUCUGGAGUGAAAACCCGGGGCUCAACCCCGGGACUGCUUUGGAAACUGUUUAUCUAGAGUGCUGGGGAGGUAAGUGGAAUUCCUAGUGUAGCGGUGAAAUGCGUAGAUAUUAGGAGGAACACCAGUGGCGAAGGCGGCUUACUGGACAGUAACUGACGUUGAGGCUCGAAAGCGUGGGGAGCAAACAGGAUUAGAUACCUGGUA
rnacentral:rRNA from 1 species